AGUGGCUGAGGGGAACUGGGAUCCCGACGUGGUCACGUGGAGGUGUAUAUUGGGUUAGGUUUAGGGGUGUGGUAUCCCGUCGUCGUCACCGUGGCCAAAGAGGUGGUCGCGAGUAGAAUAAGGGAUGGCCGGACUUCUCCCCCAUACGGCGUCAGAUACGGUGCCGGCGAGGUGCCGAAGGCCUUUUGUAUCGCGGAUGACGGAUCCGGUUGACCGGAGUCUGUGGCGGUGGUUCUUUUCGUCGGAAGCUGCGCUGGUGAUGGUGGCAGCUCCGGGCGACGUGACGGUUGCUGGCGCUUCAGUCCGUGUUUUGGGGAUGAGGAUGGUAGCAGUUCUUCAUCCUUCGCGUCUCAGGCGAGCUGGAGUCUUGGCGGAGGCACGGAGCCAUCCAAUCUGUGGAGAUUAUCGGAACCCGACAUUUGUUCCAGUUUUCUACAUGCGGCCUCCAAAGCCCUUUGAAGGCGAUGCAGAAGGAUCAUGGAUGGUUUCUCCAUGACGGAUCGAGCAGACGGUGAGCGGCCUGCCGGCUUGAUGGCAUCGGAAUGUCAUUACUACAGAUCUCAAAUCAAUUUACCAUGUAUGGACUCCAGUUUGCUCUUGCAAUCAUCUGUCAGAGUUAGGAAACAUCUGCAACCUCGACGCCACCUGGAACAUGUUUCAAUCACCUCUCUGUGAGUCAAACAUUCGUAUUAUGAAUCCCAUCUCCAGCCUGCAUACUAAGUUAAACUAUGAACAUUUUCAGGCAUCUCAAAGAUUGGACAUGUUGUCACUUCUAGGUUCCAGCCAACCAAGUAGUGAGAGCGUUGUUAUUAUCCUUUGAAACACCACUUUAUAUUCCAACUGGUCCUUCAAAAAAAAAACUUUAUAGUCCAACUA